GAUGAACGCUGGCGGCGUGCCUAAUACAUGCAAGUCGAGCGAACAGAUGAGGAGCUUGCUCCUCUGACGUUAGCGGCGGACGGGUGAGUAACACGUGGAUAACCUACCUAUAAGACUGGGAUAACUUCGGGAAACCGGAGCUAAUACCGGAUAAUAUAUUGAACCGCAUGGUUCAAUAGUGAAAGACGGUUUUGCUGUCACUUAUAGAUGGAUCCGCGCCGCAUUAGCUAGUUGGUAAGGUAACGGCUUACCAAGGCAACGAUGCGUAGCCGACCUGAGAGGGCGAUCGGCCCCCCUGGAACCUGGACACGGUCCCAAAUCCUACGGGGGGCAGCAGUAGGGAAUCUUCCGCAAUGGGCGAAAGCCUGACGGAGCAACGCCGCGUGAGUGAUGAAGGUCUUCGGAUCGUAAAACUCUGUUAUUAGGGAAGAACAAAUGUGUAAGUAACUAUGCACGUCUUGACGGUACCUAAUCAGAAAGCCACGGCUAACUACGUG
rnacentral:rRNA from 1 species